CCGGCGACCGGCGCACGGGUGAGUAACACGUAUGCAACCUGCCCUCUUCAGGGGGACAACCUUCCGAAAGGGAGGCUAAUCCCGCGUAUAUCGGUUUCGGGCAUCCGAGAUCGAGGAAAGAUUCAUCGGAAGAGGAUGGGCAUGCGGCGCAUUAGCUAGACGGCGGGGUAACGGCUCACCGUGGCGACGAUGCGUAGGGGUUCUGAGAGGAAGGUCCCCCACACUGGUACUGAGACACGGACCAGACUCCUACGGAAGGCAGCAG
rnacentral:rRNA from 1 species